GAUCACUCCCAGAAAACUCGAGAGAGAGCAUCAGAGCUCUCUGACCCGAGACACAACCGCGACCUGACAACGUGACCCGACCGAAACUUUCACGUCCGGCCACCCCACGACGGGGCGCGGGCACCUUCGUCUUCGUCUCGCUGUCGCCCACCUCCUUGUGACAUUAGAUCGUCCAUGCAUUGAACGAAGAAGGAGAAUCGAAGACCCGAAGCUCCGAGUCUUCUCCGACGAUUUCUGCAAAUUCCGGCGACUCCGACCACCAUCUGAGCUGCGUGUGGCAUGAAAAUCACUCCUCUCGUCAUGCUCUUCAAGUCUGUGUAAUUAUUUCUUCCAUUCGAUCGAUUUUGACUGAUUUGCAUUUUGGGUAGCCACGGCUCCGCCGUGUUCUUCGAAUCCGGCAACUUCUCCGGCGCUUCUAGCUUGAUUGGCAUGUAAACAUAGUCUGCGAGUUCGAUCAAGUUUUUGGAGAAGCUGUGUUUGGGUGCACUCGGCCUCCACUAAGAAUUGGGGAAUUAGUUAGCUACACCGGCUUGGACUUGUUGUGUUCUCCCUAAGAGUGCAGACUUUGAUCUAAGUUGAUCACAAGGUGAGUUGGAUUUGUUGGAGAAAUUCUGGGAAAUUUCCUUGUAGCUGAUUGCUGGUGUAUGUAUGAUAAUCAUAUCCUGUAGUGAAGGAUGGUAAUUUGAGUUGUUUCCGGUCUGCAAGCUUGAUGUUUAGUUGAUUGUUAAAGCCUUAAGUUUUGAAUUGGUUUGUUUUGAAUUUGUUGAAUGAAUCGAGAUCGUUUGUUAACGAAA